UACGUAGGGUGCGAGCGUUAAUCGGAAUUACUGGGCGUAAAGCGUGCGCAGGCGGUUCGUUAUGUCCGAUGUGAAAGCCCCGAGCUCAACUUGGGAAUGGCAUUGGAAACUGGCGGGCUGGAGUGGUGGCAGAGGGGGGUGGAAUUCCGACGUGUAGCAGUGAAAUGCGUAGAGAUGUGGAGGAACACCGAUGGCGAAGGCAGCCCCCUGGGCCAACACUGACGCUCAGGCACGAAAGCGUGGGGAGCAAACAGG
rnacentral:rRNA from 1 species